UACGGAGGGUGCGAGCGUUGUCCGGAAUCACUGGGCGUAAAGGGCGCGUAGGCGGUCCGGUAAGCGUGUGGUGAAAGCCCGGGGCUCAACCCCGGGUCUGCCGUGCGAACUGCCGGACUCGAGCACUGUAGAGGCAGGUGGAAUUCCGAGUGUAGCGGUGGAAUGCGUAGAGAUUCGGAGGAACACCGGUGGCGAAGGCGGCCUGCGGGGAAGUGACUGACGCUAAGGCGCGAAAGCGUGGGGAGCAAACAGG
rnacentral:rRNA from 1 species